UGGGGAAUAUUGGACAAUGGGCGAAAGCCUGAUCCAGCCAUGCCGCGUGUGUGAAGAAGGUCUUCGGAUUGUAAAGCACUUUAAGUUGGGAGGAAGGGUUGUAGAUUAAUACUCUGCAAUUUUGACGUUACCGACAGAAUAAGCACCGGCUAACUCUGUGCCAGCAGCCGCGGUAAUACAGAGGGUGCAAGCGUUAAUCGGCAUUACUGGGCGUAAAGCGCGCGUAGGUGGUUAGUUAAGUUGGAUGUGAAAUCCCCGGGCUCAACCUGGGAACUGCAUUCAAAACUGACUGACUAGAGUAUGGUAGAGGGUGGUGGAAUUUCCUGUGUAGCGGUGAAAUGCGUAGAUAUAGGAAGGAACACCAGUGGCGAAGGCGACCACCUGGACUGAUACUGACACUGAGGUGCGAAAGCGUGGGGAGCAAACA
rnacentral:rRNA from 1 species